AUCUAUGGCCAUAUCUCCCUGAAAGCGCCCGAUCUCGUCUGAUCUCGGAAGCUAAGCAGGGACGGGCUUGGUUAGUACCUGGAUGGGAGACCGCCUGGGAAUACCAGGUGUUGUAGGCU
rnacentral:rRNA from 1 species